UACGUAGGUGGCAAGCGUUGUCCGGAUUUACUGGGCGUAAAGAGCGCGCAGGCGGUCGUUCAAGUCGAGUGUGAAAGCCCCCGGCUCAACUGGGGAGGGUCACUCGAUACUGAUCGACUCGAAGGCAGAAGAGGGAAGCGGAAUUCCCGGUGUAGUAGUGAAAUGCGUAGAUAUCUGGAGGAACACCGGUGGCGAAGGCGACAUCCUGGACCGGUAUUGACGCUGAGGCGCGAAAGCCAGGGGAGCAAACGGG
rnacentral:rRNA from 1 species